rnacentral:lncRNA from 1 species
GGGAUCUUGCCAAUGCAGCACUGGCGUGCUCUUCUCCAAGAGAUCAUCUGCCAAAUCCUACCUUGGUUGAUUGUGAAUCCGUGAUGCCGUCGGAACAGCUGAUGAGGAUUGUGAUGGCCGCGCAGCUAAACCCCAAAGCUCGGCUACUUCUAAUGCCACAUCAAUCCCUUCCAUGGGUUGGGUGGUCGAGCUCUCCCCAGUCAAGCCAUGGUCACUUGGUCUUGAGCUCGUCAUAGUGGUCACCAUGUCCACGAUCUUUGCGAUGUCCAGCGCUUUCUCCUGCUCCUCGCUCAACAGCUUCUGGUCGUGGAGGCUGCACAGAAUCGACAUUGCAUGCUUGCUCCUCUCGCCAUCGUGAUGGUCCAAACCAAAGGAGAGCGCGCUCAUGAGAACUGCUAUAACGUCGUCACUGCUACUGCCGCUUCCAUCGAGUAGCGUUUCAAGGUACUGGCGAUUCUUGCGGCAGAGAAGAUCCAGCACUACUGCCACUUUGCUUCCUAGUGGAUCAGCUUGGCAGGUACGGAGGAGUUGGAACAAUCCAUAGAUGACGCUCUUGUAGCCAGGGAGAAGAUCACCAUGGCUGGGAUCAUAGGCUAGCAAUGCCGCGAGAGCGUCUAGAGCUAGCUCCUGGAGCUCCUGGGAGGAACAAAAGAGAGCAUUCGCGAGGUACCUUGUCAAGUCGUGAUUCUUCCUGAGUAGCGUCCUCAAAUUCGCUGCGAUCUUCUGCCUGGAGCUCUGGGUCUCUGGCUCUACAUCGACCCUGGCUGGAUCAUCUCCAUCGCCAUUGAAGGUAUAGCGCAGGGAAUCCUUCCACUCCUUGUGCGUAUCCCCUCUAGCAAAAUCAAAAUUCGCGAUCACACCCGGCUCGGCAUUGGCAAUCCCUCCAAAUGCCGCAAGCUUUCCUAGCAGCUCCAGCACCGACUUGUUGGUAUCCGGCUCCAGCGCUUUCACCAGAAGCGAGACGCAUUCAUCGCUGGCCUGAACGACGUGUGCCACAGCGAAGAAGGCGUUUUCAUCUUUGCAGAUCUCGGCCACUAGAGAAAUCGCCGCUCGCCGGUUGAUGAGAUAGUACUUGUGGCCCAUGCACUCGAACAGCCGCUCCACAACUUCACGCUUGGAUGCCAAGAGGAGCUUCCCACUUCGCUUUCUCUGAUCUUCUUCUUCCCAGUGGCACAUCGCAUCCAGCAUCAGCAAGCUCUUCCUCAGCUCCCGGUUGCCUCUCGAUUCCAAGAACUCGUUCGCGACGUAGUCGACCAAGUUCAUCCUGAGCCCCUUGAUGGCUCCAUCUCUCAGCGUCGUCUCGUACACGGCAACGAAGAACUUGGACUUAGUUUCCAGGAGAAAUCUCGGUCGGUCCCUGUUCUUCUUCGCCUUCUUGUACCUCACUGAUAUGAUCUCCCAGCAGCCGCGGAUGCACAGGAACAAGCUCGACUCGGCGAUGACGAUCGAGGAGAAGCUGAUCAUUGCGACGAACUCGUUGGACUUUGGAUACUUGGCGUCCAGUGGUAGCCAGAGGAUCGUGGCUCUGAGGCUGACGAGAGCCAGAAGGAUCUCAGUAUUGUAGGCCAUGUUGUAGACGAUGACGAAUGAGCGCCCGGAGCGAGCAUUGUACAAAAAUCUGAGAGGCAGCAGCAAGAGAAGCAGCUGCAAGGAGGUUUGCAAGAGCAAUACUGGGCCGCCCAAGAGGCCCAAGAAGCCUAAGGGGGCGAUGAGAGGAAAGAGGGUGAUGACGAGUAGGAUCAGGCGGGAAUUCACCUUUCGGUUCUUUAAGCCUUCGGACAAGCUGAGAAACCGGAAGCCCCUGAUGCCAUAGCUAACGAGCAGGAAAGUGACGAAGUAGAAGUCAUAGUAUUUCAGAUCGUCCACGAAUCCCCCCAGGAGAACCACAGUCGCCCACAGGAACAUAAACUUUCCCAAGUUCGUGGUGAACUGCUCCAGAGUUGCGAGCAACACAGCACCCAUAAUAAAUCAAUUUCCCCUGUUUUGCUGGAGCUAGCUUCCUGCCUGUUCUUCACUCAAGCGAGUUUUGAUCGGAUUCUUCAGCGCUAGUAAAAACUUUGGCCAUUUGCAGCUUCCAAGAAUCAUCACGCUGGAAAAUCUCAUUAGUAGCAAUGACACUGAAUAUGUACACUAAAAAGUUUACCUCUUGAUAGUCGUACACUACAAUUCGCGUCGAAAGAGCUCUCCUGGCUCUCAAAACAAUCACCCAAGAAUCUGUUCACCGAGCAGCAGUAUUCACAGCUUGAUCUUGCUCCGUCUCUUCCGGUGGUGGCUUCACAUAGCGGCCCAGAGACUUCUGCUUGUAGCGGCUGCGCAUUCUAGCCAGCCUCUCCUUGUUCCUGCGCUUCCUUUCCAACUUCAUGUUGUAUCUCUCCUGCCUCUCCCUCUCCAAGAUUCCCUGCCAGAACACUUCUCCCGUGUGUGGCCAGAGCCACCGGUACGUAGGAUGCUCGUCGUCAACUUUCUCGGCCAUGUCUUCGUCCAUUCCCUUGAGCACGCUAAAGCUGAACCACUUGACUUUCAUCUGCCCGCGUCGGCUCUCGAGAGCGUUCUGCUCCAUCAUUAUACCCGUCUCAGGAUCCACGUAGAUGAGUCUCCUGGCACUGUGAUACGCCCAAACGUUCACCAGGACCUCAAGUAGACGGCAGUAGCAGUGUUGAGCCUAAGAGAUUUAGUAUUUAGAACUCACAGCCAAAAGAAUUCGAGGUUGUACCAUACCUCCAGUUGUGUGGUUGCAAGAGGACAGUUUCCAUGGUCGUGAUGUUCAAUGUAGAGCCGAGAAUCGAGAGCGUCCACGAACAUCCUAAGACAAGAUAACCAGUUAAGAAGAUAUUUCGUUGGAGUAUGUGCAACAAACUGCAACAGACCGGGAAAACAUGACGAACUCCACGAAAGAUGAGGUAGACAUAGCCCAGCAAUGCUUGCUAGACCAGACACCAGAUGGCAUCGUUGGAAGCUCCAGUUGGUCUUUGUUUAAGCCGAACAUUGUCUUGAAUGUCUCCAUGAAAAUCCGCCUGGAAUGAACACCGUUGGCCUUGACAAACUUUGUCUCGACACAUACCUGCAGUUUCCAGCAUUGCUUGCAUCGCAAGAAGUCCAGAAAUCUUCCGACUUGCCAGCCCAGAAAUAAACGGCAUCGCCAUGAAUACCGACCCUCACAGCAUCGGCUAAAGAGUUUUCAGCUUUUGGCGACAGAGCAACCUGAGGAAAGAAAAAUUUAAGAUCGUAUCCACCGUCAAUCCGCAAUUUCUUACUCUUUCGGUAGCAGCUAGCGAGGGUUGAAAUCCAAUCCACGAGUUCUUAUGCACUCGAUCAAUCCUGUUAGCGAUUGCGAGAAAUCCACCAAAAUCGCAAAAGCUAUCGCGGUAGAAAGUGUCGUUUAAAAGCACAAGGCGUGAUGCAGCAUCAAUGUCGUCGACCUUUGGUCUCCUUCCCCUCGGUGACUGCAUCAAAGUGGAGGUGAUGAGAACUUCAAGCACAACACGAGCUUACCAGACUAAGACCACGGUACAGAGGAUAAUUCUGAUGGAGAGAAGCCCAGCCGCUGUUUCCGUCGUAAGUUUCGUAAAUGCAUAGCGGCUGCCCAGGGCGCUCAAGCUCCCCAUCGUCACGUUCGUGAUUCUUAAACUUCUCCCUUUCGGCUCUUUUCACGCCUCGGUUCACAUCCUCAAAAGUCGCUUGGGCUUGUUCUUUUCUCUCAUCCAGCUGAUGAAAAAGGAGAAAACAGGAAUGAGAACAAUGAAAGGAGCAUCCAACUGAUGGUAUACCUCCUCUUCUAUUCUCUCCACGUCUUCAAUCGCAUGCAGAUCUCGCUCCACAGCCACUUCUCCUUCCAGAUUUUCUUCGUAGUCUUCAAAGUUGCCAAUAGAACUGUUAAUCUUUGCGGAGGCUUCCUUGCUCUUCAUGAACUAAAGUUCUUUGCUCCAAGCCAGAUGGACGCGUUCGGCCAACUCUAGAACCAUUGAGAAAAUUCUGCUGUAAAUCGUCAGGUCCACCGCUUGGUGACGAUCCCUUCUAACAGCAGCACCGACUGGAAAACCAGCCAUACCACUACUGCAGUGAUGACAAUCCUGGAAGCCAAAACUUUGCCUUUCACUGGAAAACAUUCCCCACACUCCCUCUUGCUCGCCUUGGAAAAUCCAUGAGCGGCGCCGCCACCGCGAACAUUCACGACCACCUGAGCUGGAACGCAUUGCCAUUCCUAGCGCCUCCAUUCUGGGGCAGCCACCGCUUGGACGCAUUCCCUGCUCUAGAAUUCCCCGAUGGCCCGGUGAAGGCAGUCCCUUCCCUGCCAGGCGCUCCACAGCAGAGGAGAAGCUCGAUCUAUCGAGGUGUCACGAGGUACUAUAUCCUUUACUCCAAUGGAUAUCUCGUUUCAUAAUGUUUCUCUUCUUCCUUGUUGGCUGCAGGCAUGGAUGGGAAGCACAUUUAUGGGACAAAAGUACCUGGAAUCAUACUCAAAACAAGAAGGGCAAGGUAAGCUCGAAAACAUGUAUAACCAACUUGUUCGGACUUGCCAAUGGAUGAGCGCAGUCUAUCUAGGUACUCGGCAGCUCCAGCAGCGACUUGAUCAGUGCCCGGAUCCAAGCAGAGAGACAGCUCUCGAUGGCUUUCCAGUUAAGAGAUGUUUGCCACAAGUUCGUAGCUGUUGAUCACAUCAUCCAUACUAAGGCUCCGUGCGUUCAGCUUUGCAGGGAAAUCUGGGCUUCCACAAGUCCCACACGAGUCGACGCUGUGCCUAGCGUUCAUCUCUUCAAGCUUCUCCUUCCUUCCUGAAUCGAGGCUUUUCUCUACUCCAGACGAGCUCUUGCGUUGGAGAGCUCUCACCAGUAGCUGUUGCACCGAUCGAGCACCGUCCAGUUGCCCUCCUCGACUUUCGCCACCUUCUCUAGAUCUUGCUGUUUAGAUUGGGCUUGAAUUAUCAUCAGGAGAGCUUGUCACAAGGAGCCUGGUUGCCAUCAGUCACUCACAUUAAGCAACCGAUCGCAGCUCUAGCUAGGCAAGAUGAUGCCUCCAGUGUGAGAUUGAUUCGAUCAUUUGCCUCGUCUGAAACACCAAAAUAUUGCAAGAUCAUGAGCAAGUGGACCACAACUACACUACCAUAUCAAUAUGCCAUAGCUGAUCUUGGAUUAGCCAUUAUCAAACUCCACCUUAGAACAAUAACAGAACAAGGUUGUAUCGUGAAAUGAUUGAGAUUGAGACAAACCCUAAAACAAAGAACAUAGAAUUAGAACAAUUGAAAUCAUACAUAACUACACAUGAAUCGUGGCAAUGGGCUUCUAUUCUGCCUCUGCCUCUUCCUCUGCCUCAGGCUUCGUCUCCGCCUCUGGCUUUGGAUCGUCAUGCUCCUGAGGAGGAGGAGGAGGUGGAGGAGCAAGGGAAUUCUUCUGUGCAACAAAAGAAUUCAUUCAAAGCAAAGAAAGAGAUUCUUGUACUUCCCUGUAGAUCUUGAGGUUGUGAUCCAACUGCUUCUCCUUCACGAACGUAAUGUGCAGCCUUUUUGUUCAUCGCCAUUUCCUUCUCCGCCAUCGCACUUGGCUGCUUUCCCGCCCAAAUAUGCUCUUUUAUUCUCAAAUUGCCAUUUCCUUUUAACGCAUUGAGUGUAAUCAUUAUCUAUUUUUCAUGAUCACGAAGCCUUCCGGUCCUUUUCAAGGCUCCAGGAUUUUCUGGAAGCAAACAAGAGCUAGCAGCUAAUUUGCCUUCUGCUUUAAUCUUUUUAUUUGAGUGAUUGCAGCUAUUUAUGCGAACGAUUUUGGCUGUUCGCUGCAUCAGCUUGCAUUGAGGAGGCAAGGCAGUAGCCUUAUGGUGACACUUACAUGCUUGGACUGGCCUCUUUCUUUUAUCGUGGAUCAUCUCUCCAUUUUACGUGUGGAGUUCUUCCCAUGAAUCAAAACUAAGUGCGCUGGCAAGCCAUCCGGUUGAGGAGAUCACGCAUUCUCAACUUCCCUCUGCAAAAUCGCAUCCCAUAUGUGACCAGCUCCACACCCUGUAUGCCGGAGGGCCGGGAUACACCAAGUUCAACGGCUCAAGAACCACGAAGUCUACCUCUUGGCAUUGCUUGAGAAGACCGUGAGAUCUUCCUCUUCUUCUUCUUCUUCCUGAGUGUAUUCGUGCCACUGCCAUAGUCUCCUAGGAUGUAGUUUCUUUCACCCCGACCUCGAGGUGCCCUGUGUGAUCCGCACUGGCUCGAAACAUGCCGGUUGUGUUGAAGUCCAUUGCGAUCCUUCCUUGGCCGAGGCUUUUUUUACGUGAAAAUCGAUCGCCACGCCACCUUUUUACAGGUCCAUGCAAUGGAGGACAACGAGAUGAUCGGUGUUGACACGGCACUAGAUGGAAGCCAGCAUCAUGGACGGUGCCACUUGGCCUCACCGCGGUUGGCACGCGUCGUCAUGGAUAAGACUCCUUUGAACGCUUUCUCUUGUCUUGUUAACUGCAAAGUUUGAAUUGACAGGGAGUUGAAACUGCCGAUCCCAGCUACUUAAUCUCCGAGAAAAACAUCUAGCACCAAGGAGAUGCAAAUCGUUCAGGUAGAGUGGGAUAGUUCGUUUUGUUCUCACGCAAUUGCUAACUGAUCUCUCGUGAAAGCUAGAUCGACUACUUGCCGCAUUCUGAAGCUGGCGAGACAAGGGUUGUGUGGCCGUGCACGGCUGCCACUUCCACCGGGGGCCCGGUGAACAAGCUGGCAGGUCGCAGGAAUUUACGCGAGUGGUGUCCGCAACCAGGAAAGGCGAGAGCAUCAUUCGACGCAUGGUUGCCGCACUUGCAUGAAGUACAAAGCUCUCAAGCUCAAGGAGCUCAAGGCAGGGACAACGGGUCUGGUGGCAGUCAAGUCAAGCUUAUCACCAAUUCAACCACGUCCAGGCACAUCGUCCACUCUCUAGCUCAGCAACACCCAGUCUGAGGCAGGACUGACUCUGCAGCCGAGCGCUUGAUGUCGCCGGCAACCUGCUGCCUAGGGCUGGUAGCUUAGAGUGGUGCUGCAUCUUUCUCAGAGCGCUCCUUCUCCUGCCGGAUAAUGUCGGCAGCGGGCCUGAUGGCUCGUGUCAGGUGGUAAGUAGAGCGUUUUGCACACCAUCGAAGCGGGAAUAUGGUGCCGCAAAAGGUGUCAGGGACGGCUCUGAUGGAAGCGAACGCCCAGAAGAUGGCGAUCAAGCAAGAGCUUUGUUUCGAAGAAUUCCCAGCUGGAAUGUCCUGGCUUGGCUUGGCGGCAACGAAUGGAGAUAUGCUCGAAGUCAUGGAAACUUUCAACUCGGCCCCGGAUGCCACUUUGCAGGCGGUGUUCAUCUCCGCGUCGGGCAUCUCGACAACGUCUUUGAGGACAUGCCUGGAAUACAAUACUCGACGCCUCGAAAGAUGAAAGCUUACCAAGCAUCGCUGCCGAAAGCGCGAGCCUGCAACAUCUUCGUUAAGUAACAGCCAGAGAGAAUGAUAGAUUAGAAAAAGCUCAUUGCUGGCAAUGUAAUGAUCAGCCAAAGACGCUCUGGAACGGCUAGUGGCCGUUGAGCCAAGAAAACAGACCCAUGCGUACCUGCUGAAUCCAUCCAUAACUUUCACAGCAGUACAUUCUUCAACUUUUCUGGGGCCUGACUCUCAAUGGAAAACAUUUCAAGCGAACACAAAACGAUUUGCUAGAAAAUCUUUCAGGUACAUUGAUCACCUUUCUUCCUGGCAGACAGAGGAAGAUGAUCGUCCUGCGACUAUUCAAACUCCGAGUUCCGGGAUCCGUCCUCCUUGCUUGCGCCAUUCCCGCGUAGAGCGGGAUCUUUAGUACGUCAACAGAAAAGCUCCAGUUCGAGCAGGAAUAGUCAGUGGCGUGGCAAUCAGAAAAGAGAAUCCGAAUGAGAGACCUUUCUAAAGCUGCAUUGACGUUUCUCUUAGAUUUGUGUGUUUGACUGGACUUGUAGUCGUGCCGAAGAUUCAAACAAUUGGGAAUAUAUUGGUUUUGAAUUAGCAAGAUUUAGAAUGAAAUGCUGUGCUGCGGCAUCUCUGGAAUCCUGAUCUGUUUAGUUUCCCUCUGCGGGGAAUUUGGGGGAUCUUGCCAAUGCAGCACUGGCGUGCUCUUCUCCAAGAGAUCAUCUGCCAAAUCCUACCUUGGUUGAUUGUGAAUCCGUGAUGCCGUCGGAACAGCUGAUGAGGAUUGUGAUGGCCGCGCAGCUAAACCCCAAAGCUCGGCUACUUCUAAUGCCACAUCAAUCCCUUCCAUGGGUUGGGUGGUCGAGCUCUCCCCAGUCAAGCCAUGGUCACUUGGUGUUGAGUUCGUCAUAGUGGUCACCAUGUCCACGAUCUUUGCGAUGUCCAGCGCUUUCUCCUGCUCCUCGCUCAACAGCUUCUGGUCGUGGAGGCGGCACAGAAUCGACAUUGCAUGCUUGCUCCUCUCGCCAUCGUGAUUAUCCAAACCAAAGGAGAGCGCGCUCAUGAGAACUGCUAUAACGUCGUCACUGCUACUGCCGCUUCCAUCGAGUAGCGUUUCCAGGUACUGGCGAUUCUUGCGGCAGAGAAGAUCCAGCACUACUGCCACUUUGCUUCCUAGUGGAUCAGCUUGGCAGGUACGGAGGAGCUGGAACAAUCCAUAGAUGACGCUCUUGUAGCCAGGGAGAAGAUCACCAUCGCUGGGAUCAUAGGCUAGCAAUGCCGCGAGAGCGUCUAGAGCUAGCUCCUGGAGCUCCUGGGAGGAACAAAAGAGAGCAUUCGCGAGGUACCUUGUCAAGUCGUGAUUCUUCCUGAGUAGCGUCCUCAAAUUCUUUGCGAUCUUCUGCUUGGAGCUCUGGAUCUCUGGCUCGUCAUCAACCCGGGCUGGAUCAUCUCCUGCAUCGAUGGAGAUGAUCCAUUCGCCAUUCCUGAGAGAAUCCUUCCACUUCUUGUCCAUAUCCCCUUGCGCAAAAUCAAAGUUCGCGAUCACACCCGGCUCGGCAUUGGCAAUCCCUCCAAAUGCCGCAAGCUUUCCUAGCAGCUCCAGCACCGACUUGUUGGUAUCCGGCUCCAGCGCUUUCACCAGAAGCGAGACGCCUUCAUCACUGGCCUGGACGACGUGUGCCACAGCGAAGAAGGCGUUUUCAUCUUCGCAGAUCUCGGCCACUAGAGAAAUCGCCGCUCGCCGGUAGAUGAGAUAGUACUUGUCGCCCAUGCACUCGAACAGCCGCUCCACAACUUGACGCUUAGAUGCCAAGAGGAGCUUCCCACUUCGCUUUCUCUGAUCUUCUUCUUCCCAGUGGCACACUGCAUCCAGCAUCAACAAGCUUUUCCUCAGCUCCCGGUUGCCUCUCGAUUCCAAGAACUCGUUCGCGACGUAGUCGACCAAGUUCAUCCUUAGCCCCUUGAUGGCUCCAUCUCUCAACGUCGUCUCGUACACGGCAACGAAGAACUUGGACUUAGUUUCCAGGAGAAAUCUCGGUCGGUCCCUGUUCUUCUUCGCCUUCUUGUACCUCACUGAUAUGAUCUCCCAGCAGCCGCGGAUGCACAGGAACAAGCUCGACUCGGCGAUGACGAUCGAGGAGAAGCUGAUCAUUGCGACGAACUCGUUGGACUUUGGAUACUUGGGGUGCAGUAGUAGUAGCCAGCGGAUCGUGACUCUGAGGCUGACGAGAGCCAGAAGGAUCUCAGUAUUGUAGGCCAUGUUGUAGACGAUGACGAAUGAGCGCCCGGAGCGAGCAUUGUACAGCAGCAAGAGAAGCAGCAGCAAGAGAAGCAGCAGCAAGAGAAGCAGCAGCAAGAGAAGCAGCGACAAGAGAAGCAAGAGAGGCAGCGACAAGGAGGUUUGUAUAUAGACGCCGAAGGGAAAGAGGACGAGGAGGCGAAGGAGGGCGAUGACGAGUAGGAUCAGGCGGGAAUUCACCUUUCGUUUCUUUAAGCCUUCGGACAAGUUGAGAAACCGGAAGCCCCUGAUGCCAUAGCUAACGAGCAGGAGACUGACGUAGUAGAAGUCACAGAUUUUCAGAUCGUUCACAAAUCCCCCCAGGAGAACCACAGUCGCCCACAGGAACAUAAACUUUCCCAAGUUCGUGGUGAACUGCUCCAGAGUUGCGAGCAACACAGCACCCAUAAUAAAUCAAUUUCCCCUGUUUUGCUGGAGCUAGCUUCCUGCCUGUUCUUCACUCAAGCGAGUUUUGAUCGGAUUCUUCAGCGCUAGUCAAAACUUUGGCCAUUUGCAGCUUCCAAGAAUCAUCACGCUGGAAAAUCUCAUUAGUAGCAAUGACACUGAAUAUGUACACUAAAGUUUACCUCUUGAUACUACAAUUCGCGUCGAAAGAGCUCUCCUGGCUCUCAAAACAAUCACCCAAGAAUCUGUUCACCGAGCAGCAGUAUUCACACCUUGAUCUUGCUCCGUCUCUUCCGGUGGUGGCUUCACAUAGCGGCCCAGAGACUUCUGCUUGUAGCGGCUGCGCAUUCUAGCCAGCCUCUCCUUGUUCCUGCGCUUCCUUUCCAACUUCAUGUUGUAUCUCUCCUGCCUCUCCCUCUCCAAAAUUCCCUGCCAGAACACUUCUCCCGUGUGUGGCCAGAGCCACCGGUACGUAGGAUGCUCGUCGUCAACUUUCUCAGCCAUGUCUUCGUCCAUUCCCUUGAGCACGCUAAAGCUGAACCACUUCACUUUCAUCUGCCCGCGUCGGCUCUCGAGAGCGUUCUGCUCCAUCAUUAUACCCGUCUCAGGAUCCACGUAGAUGAGUCUCCUGGCACUGUGAUACG